rnacentral:rRNA from 1 species
GAUGAACGCUAGCGGCAGGCCUAAUACAUGCAAGUCGAACGGGAUUGCGGUAGUAGCUUGCUACUACUGCAUGAGAGUGGCGCACGGGUGCGUAACGCGUGAGCAACCUACCCAUAUCAGGGGGAUAGCCCGGCGAAAGUCGGAUUAACACCGCAUAACAUCAACAGUUCGCAUGUUCAGUUGAUUAAAUAUUUAUAGGAUAUGGAUGGGCUCGCGUGACAUUAGCUAGUUGGUAGGGUAACGGCUUACCAAGGCAACGAUGUCUAGGGGCUCUGAGAGGAGAAUCCCCCACACUGGUACUGAGACACGGACCAGACUCCUACGGGAGGCAGCAGUAAGGAAUAUUGGUCAAUGGGCGCAAGCCUGAACCAGCCAUGCCGCGUGCAGGAGGACUGCCCUAUGGGUUGUAAACUGCUUUUAUCAGGGAAUAAACCCCUUUACGAGUAGAGGGUUGAAUGUACCUGAAGAAUAAGAAUCGGCUAACUCCGUG